rnacentral:lncRNA from 1 species
ACUAGCUAUGUGAACUUGGGCAAGUGACCUAAUCCUCUGCGUUUCAUCUCUAAAUUGGGGAGAAUAGAAGCAUCUAUUUCAUGUAGUAGCCAGGAUUAGAAGAGAUGGGGCCACUUGAGGGAAAAGACCUACCCAAGGGCACAUAAUCUGUACAUGAGAGAGAGCCAGAUGUAACAGACUGAGUACUGGACUUGGGGUUAAACAGAGUGUGAAUCCUUCCACCCCAUUGGGAGGAAUAACUGGGCACUGGAUAGAAUGUGAUGAAUGAAUAUUCUUAAUGAGAAGUGGAAAUAAUUUGUGGUUGAGAGCUAUGCCUCAGAUCAGAGUGACAGGAUACAUGGCUAGGCUAUAUUUUCCAGCAGAUUAAGAGCUGUAGCCCAAGACUCUGAAAUACGAAGAAAAAAGGAGAAGAUGACAGCAUAUCUUUUUAAAGAAAUAUUUUCCAGCCAAAUGGUGCAGCAGAGGACUUCCAGGAAUUUGUUCUUGUUCUCUAUCAAAGGUGAAGAGUUCAUAGCCUUCAAGGAAACAAGAAACCAUGGGAUGGAGUGAAGGAAGGUGGCCUGGAACCAGCCGCUGAGCCUCUCUGAGCCCCAGUUUCCUCAUCUCUAAAAUGGGGCUGAUCUCCUCUCCCUCAGAUUGUUGUUGCAGGAAUUGAAUGAGGUUUUGAGUGGGAAA